UGCCGCGUUCAUGCAUUCACAUGCAAUGAUGACCACUUUGCAUUAAAAGCGCCCACUUAUAAUAACAACAGUGUGAUGAUUAAGAUGAGAAGAUUAUUUCUACAAUCAGAUUCUACCUUUUCCCAGCAUUCUCAGCGUCGAUAAAACCCCAAAGGCUUCCUGCCCGCCAUUUCACUUUUGGGUAGCUACUUAGCAAGCGCCUUCGUUUGAGGUAGUUUUCCUUGUGAAACCAUUAUAUAUCUCAUCGUUGAAUUAACAAGCAAAUAAUCAAUAUUGGUAGUCAAAUUUAUAUUAAAACGUUUGUUUAUUAAGGCAAUUGGAAUCGACACGUUAACGAACGACCACAGUUUUAAUUGAAGACCAGCGUUCACAAACCAGGCCUGGGCCAUGGCAGGGUGUGGCUCACGUCAUAAAGUCCGCCGAUGGCCUGUGUCAGACAUCACUGGGCAUCAGCACAAGACUGUGUUUCCUGAAAAUUGUCACGCCAAUGCGAAAGAGUUUGUGUUCGUUGUUGGCGAUUCACAUCUCAGAUCUUUUGCUGAUGGAGUUGUGAACAUGCCAGAGGGUCGGCUGUCCUUUGGUUUUAUGGCCACACCUGGAGGAGAUGCAACAGCGUUGCGUUUGGAGAUCUCCCAUCUUGGUGCUACUCCACGUACUCCAGAUGCAGUGUGCCUGCUUGCUCCAGGGAACAACAUGACCUCAAGUCGCACUAUUGAGGAAGCUGCCAGGGCCUUUGGGACUCUCCUCAGUGUUGCAUUGCAACACUGGCCAAACAAGGUGUUUGUGGUGGAUUUCCCUAUACGACAUGUACAUGCAACACUGGAAUACCAGCUUCUGCUAAAGCAGGAAUAUCACCGAGUUGCAGCAAAGAUGGGGGUGCGGUAUUUCUCAACAAAUGAUGUUUUCCAGCCAUCCAAAAGGCAUCUCUGGUGUCAGGAUUUGGUACACCUAAGUGAUGACAAAGGUAUGCCUCUCCUUGCGGACUUCAUUUGGAACACUUCAUACAGCAUCCUACACGUCCCUGUCAAUCCUGUGCCACUUGGAGUGCGUCCUACACUCAAAAGAUGCUUCCACAAAAACAAGAAGAAGCAUGGUACUUCAUCACAGCCACAGUGUGUUGCUCCAUCUCAGCGCUCAGCAACAUCCUAUCGGCCCUUUCCAGCUGUUAAAAUGAAGUAUGUCGACCAUGACCAAUGGACACACCUGCUGCCUACUGUUCCAGAUGUAAGGAUGCAGGUUCGGGACCGGCGUCAUUGUAUACGUCAGCAUGCUGCCAAAGGACUGUUUGUUGACAUACAGCAACGAAUUCUCAGUGGGGGUACGAUGGAACGCAUCUUUGACACAUACGUCCUAUGUUACCCUUCGGGCUACUGCCAGAACGCCAAGCCUGUCCAUGACCCAGCACCCAAGUCUGUGGCUGAGAAGAAAUCUCCGCACAUCAAAAAGCUAAGUGGUGCUGGUUCACGUCAUGUGGGUCGUAGGCCUCUGGUUGUAGUAGACAGGGUCAGAGAAGUUGUAGAACAGGAAGAUGUUAGGGACAAGGUAGUAAGGAGGAGAAAGAUGGGACACAUACACACCAGUGUUACACAGACAGAACAGAAGCAGGAGUUGCCUACUGAGAGAGUACUGAAACAGGAGUUGGCUAGUCAACUAGUACAGAAACAGAAGUUUGGUACAGAUGAAGGUACUUGGUACAGACCAGCUGCAGUACUCACCAUAAAAAAGGCCAAGAACCACAUAAGAGGAGGUGUAGGUGGAGGCCACUCAAUAUUUGAGACAGCAAUUAGCAUAGCAGAGCAGCAUGGUAUCCAACUUAGAAGUGGCAAUCCAAACAAGGCCAAUGGUAAUUGCUUGUAUGAAUCUAUUAUUGAUAACAUAAAUGCAAGACAAUGUUUUGCAGAACAUUUGCCAGAAAGGCCUGAGCACUAUAGAAAGGUCUGGAAUACUGUAGGUGAACAGAAAAUUAAGGCAUCUCCAUACUAUCCAAACAUAUAUACAGAACAGCAGUGGAGAGAAGCAUGGCAAACUUUGCAAACAACUAACCAAUAUGACCUUGACUAUUUUGGUGAUAUGGCUAUCCUUAGUUGUGCUCAUACUACUAAGAAAGAUAUCCUUGUUUUCAACACACCUUGGAAAACAACAACUGCUCAACCUCAUAGUCCAAUAUAUGUAAUAUCUGCAGAUGCAAUAGAUCCAGCAAAUGCAAGAGAUACUGAUGUUCCAUUGGUGUUGGCAUACAAUGGCCAUCAUUUUGAAAGCCUCAUUCCUGUUUCUCAUGUUGAUGUUAACAAAACAAUUGUUUUGGUGGAUGCGUAUAAGACUGGCACGUAUAUGACUCCUAGGUCUUUAGCACAAAUGUUUCAGCUCAUUGGACAUGAUUUACACAACACAGAAACAGAUUCUCCCACAACAAAAAAAACCAUAUGUACACAGGCCACAGAAAAUCAGAAAAGAACAAAGCUUGCACCUACAACCACUAAUGUGCAGAUUCAAAAUUAUGCUGCAAAAUCCCAGAAUUUUUAUGAAGGCAAUAAUACCAGCGAUACCAUAGCCAUAACUUUGCCAGAUGUAUGCAACAGCUGUCAAAAGCCAUUUCAAACGCUGCUGGUACAUUUGCGCAGAUCAAAACAAUGUCAGUUACAUUACAACUUACAAUCUUUGCAUCAAGAAGUAAUUGUGAAACACGCAGACCAACAACCUCUAUGGCAAGGUCCCAAACGUCAAAAACUGGAAAAACAUAACCAAACUGAGGUCAAUGUAGGCCUAAACCAUGUUGAACAACAACCUCUACCAUGUCAGAAAGUGAAAGAGGCCACUCCAAUUGAAGCCACUGCAAUAAAGAUGACAGUUACAAGGAAGAGACAGUUGCAGGGUAAUCCUGUAGAAGUCACAGGAACAAGAAGAACAGAUCUUCUCCAGAUUCAAAAUAUAGGUCCUAAAUCCCACAAUCUACACGAAGCCAAUAAUACCAGUGAUACCAUAACAAUGACUUCCCUAGAUGUAUGCAAGGGCUGUCAAAAGCCAUUUCAAAGGCUGAUGCUACAUUUGAGCAGGUCAGUACAAUGUCAGUUACAUUACAACAUGUCUGAGAGCAACCCAACAAUGCCUUAUCCAAGUGCAGAUGAAGUUAUUUUUGUCAAUGAAAUGGAAAGCCCAUGUCUCACAUUCUCUCCUUUCACUAUGCAGCAAAAAAAAUCACUUUGUUCAAAAAUGAACAUCAUCCACAACUCACCUGAAUACGUUCAUACACAAGAACCAGUGCCAAGGAAUGUCCCAAUGAGUGAUCCUUGUGAGACAAAGGCUAUUGUAGGUGAUGGGAACUGCUUUUUCAGAGCAUUGUCAUUUUCCAUUAGUGCAACUGAAGGUCAUCACAGAAAAAUCAGACUAGCUGUAGUUAAACAUAUGGAAACAAAUGCAUUACAGUAUGCUCCUAUUCUCCGACAUGGAUAUUUUUCUGUUGAAAACUAUAUACAUGCAUCACGCAUGAAAUAUGUUCAAACUUGGGCAACUGAGGUGGAAAUACAAGCAGCUGCAGAUCUCUUUGGAGUUGAUGUUUUCACAUACAGUCGCAACAAGUGGUUCAAGUAUUCCACAACAAAUGGAAAGACAAUUGACUCAGCGAUAUACCUAAAACACUGCAACGCAUCUCAUUAUGAAGUAGUUACAUGCGUGAAGCAACACAAUUCGGACCAAUGCACUAAACUCUGCAGCAAAUCCAAUGACUGUCCACAGUCACAUCAGAUAAGGAGUUCUUCAAGUCGACGUGAGCUUGACAGAAAAAACAAGCAAUAUGAAAUGAACAAACAAUUCCAAGAUGCAAAAAAUAACAGAGGAAUUAAAAGAUACAAUGAAGAUGCAAACUACAAGAAAACUAUCAAAGAACGCAGCAUAAACAAAUAUGCCACUGAUACCCAACACCGGACAAAUGUGAAACAGUACAGUGCACAGAAAUAUGCCACUGAUGCCCAACACCAGGCAAAUGUGAAACAGUACAGUCAACAGAAAUAUGCCACUGAUGCCCAACACCAGGCAAAUCUUAAACAGUACAGUCAACAGAAAUAUGCCACUGAUGCCCAACACCAGGCAAAUGUGAAACAGUACAGUCAACAGAAAUAUGCCACUGAUGCCCAACACCAGGCAAAUGUGAAACAGUACAGUCAACAGAAAUAUGCCACUGAUGCCCAACACCAGGCAAAUGUGAAACAACACAGUGCACAGAAAUAUGCCACUGAUGAACAACAUCGUACAAAUAAGAAAAAGUGCAGCAUAGACAAAUAUGCUACUGAUGAGCAACACAAGGUAAAUCUGAAACAGUGCAAUAUUACCAGAAGGAUUAAAUCAAACAAACAAAGACAACAAAUGGACUACAUUGUUCAGGAAUUCAAAAACAAGGUUAGCACUGGUCCCCAAUAUGUUUGCUCCGUAUGCCAUCGACAAUUGUUUAAACAACAAGUCAUACAAUGUAAAAAAGACACAUAUGGAAAAAAAGGCAAUGCUACAGCUUCAUUGGUCAGUAAAUGCAUUACUGAAACAUACCUUCAUAAAUGCGAAAGUGCCUGUGUAGAACACUGCACAGAUCCUAAUAGUACACUGUGGAUUUGUUACACAUGUCACAGAAAACUUCUUGAUGGAAGAAUGCCUCCGGAAAGUGUUGCUAAUAAUUUGGUUUUGGAUCCCAUUCCACCACAUCUGAAGAACUUAAAUUCACUCGAACAACAUUUGAUUGCAAUAAACAUUCCUUUUAUGAAGAUGCUUGCUUUACCGAAAGGGGGACAAAAUGGUGUUCAUGGACCUGUCACGUGUGUACCAUCUAAUCUCCCUCAGAUUGCAAGUGUACUUCCAAGACCAGAGCAUGAUGAUUUGAUGAUCCGUGUCAAAUUAAAGAGAAAGUUAACAUACAAAGGCCACUAUGAAUAUCAAUAUGUUAACACUGCUGCUAUUCAUAAAGCUUUCUCGUACUUGAAACAACAUAACCCAUGGUACAAAGAUAUUACCUUCAACCACGAAUGGAUUAAUCCACUCAACAAAAUUCUACAACCCAACAACCCUCUGUCUUUUGACAAUGAAACCUGUGUUGAGAUUAAUACAGAAAACACUAAUGAUGAAGCAUCCACUGAAACAACACCAGAUGAUGAACACAUUGAUGAAUCAAUACAUGAUACACAGCAACAUGGAAUGUUCAACGAUACAUGUUUACAACCUGUCGAUAUUGUCCAAGAGGUGAUGGAUCAGCACUUCGAUGGAAUUUUGUCUCUGGCCCCAGCACAAGACAACAACCCAGUCAGAUUACUAACCAAUGAAGGCAAUGAAGCAAAAUGCUUCCCUGUUCUUUUCCCCAAAGGAACCGGUACUUUUAACGAUACCAGAGGAGAAAAGUUAACCAUAUGUAGAUAUUUCAAUAACCGCAUACUCAAUGCAGAUGGAAGAUUUGCAAAAAACCUGGACUACAUUUUUUAUGCACAAUAUUUAUCUGAGAUUAACCAAGUGGUCUCAAAUGUAUCUAUUGCACUGAGAAAAGGAUAUGACUCUGGCAGAAAAAUUACAUCAGACAUGCUAAUCAACGAAGAUUCACUUCAAAGAAUUCUCCAUUUUGACGAGGGAUACAAAUUCAUGAAACCUAUCAGAGGCACACCUGCUUUCUGGCAAAGUGUUCAGAAAGAUCUUUUUGCUAUGGUUAGACAGCUUGGAAUCCCAACAUGGUUUUGUUCCUUUUCUUCAGCUGACAUGCGAUGGAAAGAGACAUUACAAAUUUUCCUCCGGCUAGAAGGCAAACAUAUAAAUGCUGAUGAUCUGGACUGGUCAGAGAGAUGUGAUCUCUUGAGAAAGAAUCCCGUGACAGCUGCCAGAAUGUUUGAUCAUCGCUUUCAUUGUUUCCUUAAAGAUGUCAUCAUGUCACCAGCUCAACCAAUUGGAAAAAUUGUUGACUACUUCUACAGAGUGGAAUUUCAACAACGAGGUUCACCUCAUACACAUUGUCUGUUCUGGGUUGAAAAUGCACCGCAAGUUGAUAAAGCCGAUGAUGCUGAUGUUGUAGCAUUUAUCGAUCAAUAUGUGACAUGUGAAAUGCCACCUCUUGACGAUAAGGAAAUGCACGACAUUGUCUCUACUGUGCAACAGCACAGCAAAAGGCAUUCAAAGAGCUGCAGAAAAAACAAAACUGUCUGUCGCUUUAACUUCCCGCGGCCACCAUCAAAAAACACUUUCAUCACAAGGAAUAAAAUUUCUGAAGAAGAAAUGCCUAGUGAGCCUAACCAAACACAACCUCAACAACAAACCAAUCAUCCAAGGCUUUCAAUGGAACUUGCAGGACAGAUUAUGGAGAGGGUACGGCAAGUUGUCAUGAACACUGACAUAUCUUUUGAUUCUGCAGAUUCCCUCUUUGCAUCUAUUGGUAUAUGCCAGGAGCUGUUUGAAGCUGCAUACAUACGCAUGACCAAAAAAACCAAUGUUGUUUUACAGAGAAAACCAUCUGAUGUUUGGGUAAAUCAGUAUAACACACAACUUCUCCGAUGCUGGAAUGCAAAUAUGGACAUUCAGUAUGUUGUUGACGCCUACUCUUGCAUUGUGUAUAUAAUAUCUUACAUAUCUAAGCAAGAGAGAGAAAUGGGAUUAUUGCUACAGCAAGCCCAAAAAGAGGCCUCAAAUAACAUUGAUGCUAAACUUGCCUUGCGGAAACUUGGCAGUGUUUACCUUCAUAACCGAGAAGUAUCUGCACAGGAGAGUAUAUACCGACUAACCAACAUGAGACUCAAAGAGGGAUCAAGAAAGGUUCAGUUCAUUCCAACUGGUCAACAUCCCAUCAAAAUGAGUCUUCCGCUUCAUCUUCUUCAGAAAAGACUCAACACUGAAAAUAACAGCAUAUGGAUGAACAGCAUCACAGACAAAUACAAAGGAAGACCAAAAACAGAAGCAUUUCCUGAAAUGUGUUUGGCAACCUUUGCAUCACAGUACAGAAUUCUGUCAAAAGCAGACAAGUCAUCACCUAACAGCAUAAAACUGGAUCAGGACUUAGGAUUUGUGAUGAAGAGGACACGCACAGAUGCUGCUGUUGUGCGUUAUGCCCGCUUCUCACGCACAAAAAAUCCUGAGAAAUAUUACCACAGUAUUCUACAGUUAUUCCUUCCGCAUUACAAUGAUUCUGAGUUGAAACCACCAAACUUCAACACAUUUGAAGACUUCUAUCACACAGGCUUUGUUCAAAUCAUCAACAGUGAACUUAAGGCUGUGAAAUUCCUGGUUGACACCAAUCAAAAACUCUUUGAAAAAGAAGCUGACGAAAUUGACAACGCUCAAGAACAUCUAAACAGAGAUGGACCACCAGAAGAUGCAUGGUCGCUAAUUUGCCCAGAAUCAGAAUUACAACGUCUACAGUGUUUGGAAGCAAUAACCAGUCAUGUAACAAACACAGAGGAAACUGAUGAAAUCCUUCCUGAUCUGCAGCCAGAUAAAAGCAACACUUUCACUAUCGAACCUAGGUUCUGUGGGUUGCAAAAGGACACUGCAAUGUGUCUCCUACGGUCACUAAAUGAAAAACAGCUGCAAUUAUUUUACAAGAUUCGGCACUGGUGUUUACAAAAACUCAACAACGAAAACCCAGAUCCAUUUUAUGUAUUUAUCACUGGAGGAGCUGGCACAGGCAAGUCCCACCUGAUAAAAGCAAUCAAUUAUGAAGCAUCUCGUAUCUUGUCACAGCUAUCAGAAAACCCAGAUGACACGCAUGUCUUACUCACUGCUCCAACUGGUGUUGCUGCUUACAACAUUGAUGCGGCUACAAUACACAAUUGCUUUUCAAUUGGAAUAGAUGUCUCAUUACCAUAUCAACCACUUGCAGAAGAAAAAAUUAAUACUUUGAGAGCCAAACUCAACAAGAUCCAAAUACUGAUUAUUGAUGAAAUUUCAAUGGUUGAUCAUAAACUUCUUACAUAUAUCCACGGACGGUUAAGACAGAUCAAACAAACAGGUGACUAUUCCUCUUUUGGUAAAGUGUCUAUCAUUGCAGUAGGGGACCUAUAUCAAUUGCCACCAGUCAAAGGAAAACCCUUGUAUACACAACCAAGUGGUGUUAACUUAUGGCAAAAUCAUUUUGCUGUAACAGAACUCACAGAAAUAGUCAGACAGAAAGACACACACUUUGCACAGUUGCUAAAUCGCUUAAGAACACACAAGAAAAAGCAACCACUGCAACAACAAGAUAUCAACAUGCUGAAAAGUCGUGAGACGGGAGAAGGAGAAUUCAGUGAAGAUCUUCACAUUUAUGCAACAAACCAACAAGUUGACACUCAUAAUUUUCAGAUGUUGCACAAAAUGUGCCCUCAUACCACUUCCAUUGAAGCUCAAGAUUUUGACAGGGAUGCUAAAACUGGUCGCCUGAAAAGAAAAAUGACACACCAUCUCAAAGUUUACAAUACUUGUUUGGUAAAUACACUGCAUCUCGGCAUACAUGCACGUGUCAUGUUACUGAAAAACAUUGAUGUUUCAGAUGGACUUGCAAAUGGAGUCUUUGGAACAGUUUCUGACAUAUCUUACAACGAUGAUGACACUUUCCCAUCAAGGAUAUAUGUCACCUUUGAUGAUGAAAAAGUCGGAAAAAUGGCUCGAAAUAAGAAACCAUCUUCCAAACCUGGACUGGAAAAAGCCACACCAAUUGAGCCUGAAGAGGACAAAAUAACAAACAGUGGUGGUGUGAGACGUCAGUUUGCUCUGAAGUUAGCUUGGGCUUGCACUGUUCACAAAGUGCAAGGUUUAACAGUGGAGAAAGCUGUUGUCUCUCUCAACAAAAUGUUUAGCUCUGGACAAGCAUAUGUAGCACUGAGUCGUGUAACAUCUCUUGAAGGACUCAUCAUCGAUGAUUUUAAAGCCACUGCUAUAUAUGCUAAUGACACAAUUCACACUUCAAUACAAAACAUGCCUGCAUUCAUUGAGCCACCACUUCAAUCCUUCAAUACAACUUACAGAAUCUUUCUGCACAAUGUUCAAGGACUUUCUGCUCAUAUCGAAGACAUUCGAUGUGAUCACAGAUAUUUUGCAGCUGAUGUCAUUUGUGUGACAGAAACAUGGCUACAACAACAACAUUCUACCCAAGACACUCAUCUCAACACCUUUUCAUUUCACAGCAAACCAAGGUGCCUUGCAUAUGAUGACACUGAACAUAUCUUCAUGGAACUAAAGAAACAGCAGCAUGGUGGUGUUGGACUUUACUUUAAAAAUGAUGCAGACUGCAACAUCACCCAUUUGCCAUGUCUAAACAUUGAAUGUUUAACAUUCAGCAUAAAGUCACUGGAAGCAAACGUUGCCAUCCUCUACAGACCACCAUCUUACAGUUUGGUUACUUUCAGAACAAAACUGUUGCAUUUGAUUCAUCAUCUAGACACAUUCUUGGGAACCAAAAUAAUAAUGGGCGACUUCAAUGAAAAUCUCUUCAUUACACAAACUGUUCAAGAUUUCAUGCAGCAACAUGGAUACACCCAACUCGUUAAACAAGCAACUACUGAAAAGGCCACCUUAAUCGACCAUAUCUAUGUCAAAGAUAACACAGCUUAUCAAAUUGAUAUUCAAAUAAUGCAAACAUAUUUCAGUUUCCAUAACUGUAUUGUUAUGGAUGUUUUCCAGUAAAUCCGGUACAUUGAUUUAUUUGUCCCAGCCCAUCUGUGAAUAGGCCCUCCUCUCCGUGCACACUCAAAACGUGAUCAUGCACAGGAGGAAGAUUUGUUCUUGGCUUUUCCCCACAGACAACACAGCUGGUCUAAUUCCUGAAUACAAUCAAUCCACAGUUCACAAAUGGUUAGUCUCAUUAACACCUCUGCAGACAUUUUUCCCUAACUGAUGCAUUCAACUUAACUCUCAUACGUUCCUCUCCCUAUGUUCUUAACAAAACACUGUCAAUCUCCAAGACCCAACUCUUCAAAUAAGUUAUUAGCAAGCAGGUAAAGACCCUAGCUAGUAAGGAUAGAUAUAACUUAACAUUACAAUACAGCUGGCUUGUCAAGGUUAGCAGGCUGUAAAAUUUUCCCCUCUUGUUUACAUUUUGGACAGAUGUGGCAAGUGACUACACCUAUCCCUGUUUCAGUUACAGCACUUUCAACACAAGCAAUAUCGAAAGCGCUAUCCAAAAAUUUCUUCUAAUCAUGAAGACAUUUUGGGAUACAUUUUGAAAAUAGAAAACCAAUAUGCACCACAAUUAUAUCAACAAAUACCAUCUCUGGGCAAACAACACUAUAUUCUGUAAAUACAUUGCACUACUUGACCCCAUUUCCAGUAUGAACAUGAUUUCUUGACGAUGAACAGGGUAAGAGCAUCACUUUGAAAAGCACAACGAAUAAUUACGCAUUCUCUUUAUAUUACUGCACUUUCUGGUUUUCCUUUUUUCUUUCCUUUAUCCUCAGGUGAACACAGACCUCCGAAACCAGCUUCAAGGAACAACACCUGGCUGCCUACUUCAGCAUCUCCAUAAAUGGACCCCAUCUUGACGCCUUCCCAUAUGAUAGUGCAUUGGAAUAUGUUCCCACAAAGCCCCAUAAAAUAAGGUGUUGCAACAAACAGUGCUCACUUUGCAACAGGUAGGCUGUGCAGCAGUCACUUAAAGUGUAGCAAUGCAGCACUCACUGUAUAUUUUCCCAUUUAUUUCACAAACUACCAAUUGGGCACUCACUGUAUAUACGCUUUCCAGUUCUUUCACACAAAUUAAAGCUAUUAUAUAGACUUCCCUUCGCGUUUCUCUGCUCUUGCCAUUUUACUUAUGAUUUCACUCUGUAUUUUUCUCUUUAUUUAUAUUACAAUUAAAGAAAUUUACUUAA